rnacentral:siRNA from 1 species
UCAUACGACCGGUUCGCCAUGUAA